UUUCAAAGGCAGUUUGUGUGGAAACACAAACUCGAAAUCGGCCCCAGAAGUGGCAGGUUUCAAUAUUUUCAGAAAGAACAUUAGAAUGAAAUUCUAUCAAAGACAAAUGACAAAGAGAAAAAAACUUGACAGAUCUUGUGUGGUGCCCCAGAGGUCCAGCAGACCAAAGGAGAGUUGAAAGUGAAUGUGAAGUUAGAUGUGAACCUGGCCUAACUGAUGUCUUAUAAUGAAUCUCUAAUUAAUCUAAUUGUUUUGAAAAGGGUCAAUCUCUUAUUCAAAUCUUCAAGAAAAAAAACAACAUUCCUUUGGUUGAGUGUUCUAUUUGUACAGUGUAGCGCUACAGUUCACACGAUAAUAUGAAAAACUACUUAUCAAUUGUUGUUUUAAAUUAUGUCCAAAUUAUAUGCAUACUAAUUAGAUUUUUUGUGUGUAAAUGUAGUAGUUAGUAUGACAUAACUUACUUAACUUAGCAAUACAAAUGUAAAAAAAACUAAUAUUUUUUGGGGCAAAAAAUGUAAAACCGUUUGCAUAAAUGUGUAAAAAAAAAUAUGGUAAAUUGUCACCUCUCCCUACUAAAGAGACUCCCGAUUUUGUUACUCUUAAUAGUGAAUAGUUGUAAAAGUAGUGUAUUUUUAUAAAAAAAAAAAAACUACUGGCAUAAGUGAUUUUAAAAAUUAGAUUUUUCGCUUUCAGAAAAAAAAAAGUAGCAGUUGCAUCAGAACUUUGAAUGAUCUAAUAUAUCAUGAUGUUCGAUUUUCAUUUUCUCUUCUAGUUUCUGAGAUCUAAACGGGACGGACGGAUGGACAGACAAGCCACACAAAACUAAUAACGUCUUUUCACCUUUCGGGGGCCGCUAAAAAAGCUAAUUUCAUUGAUCGUCCAUUGUAUCAGAGGAUUAAGGAUUUUCUGAUAGAGAGAGAGAGAACAAACUGUAAUAAUAAAUGGCUACAAAUCAACACCAAUAACAGUAAACUCAGGAGUACAUCAAGGAAUACCAUAGUCUUAGGUCUAUUUUUCAUUUACUUGAAUGAUUUACCAAAUUGCAUUAGUUCAGGAACAAAGUCAGAUUAUUUGCAGAUGAUUGCAAUAUAAUAUAGAACAAUAAAAACAACACAAGAUAUAGAAAUUUUACAAAGAGAAUUAGAUGAAUAACAGAAAUGGGAAUCUAAUUGGAGCAUGUCUUUCUACCCAGAAAAAUGUCAGUUAUUAAGAGUAACAAAAAAAAAAAAAAAAACUAAAACAAAUAAA